GGGUCGAUGAUGACACCAAUGUCAUAAAGAGUGGUGAUGUCAUAAAAAUAAUGCUCAGAGCAUUACAGUGUGGCCC